rnacentral:rRNA from 1 species
UACAGAGGGUGCGAGCGUUGUUCGGAAUUACUGGGCGUAAAGCGCGCGCAGGCGGCCUUUUAAGUCUGACGGUGAAAUGCCGGGGCUCAACCCCGUGCCCGCCGGAGAUACUGGGAGGCUGGAGACGAGUAGAGGCAAGCGGAAUUCCGGGUGUAGCGGUGGAAUGCGUAGAGAUCCGGAAGAACACCGGAGGCGAAGGCGGCUUGCUGGGCUCGGUCUGACGCUGAGGAGCGAAAGCGUGGGGAGCGAACAGG